rnacentral:rRNA from 1 species
UGGGGAAUCUUGCGCAAUGGCCGAACGGCUGACGCAGCGACGCCGCGUGUGGGAGGACGCCUUUCGGGGUGUAAACCACUGUUGCCCGGGACGAACAAGCGCUUUCGAGUGCUCUGACGGUACCGGGUGAGGAAGCACCGGCUAACUCCGUGCCAGCAGCCGCGGUAAUACGGAGGGUGCGAGCGUUGUCCGGAAUCAUUGGGCGUAAAGGGCGCGUAGGUGGCAGGCCAAGCGUGCGGUGAAAGCUCGGGGCUCAACCCCGGGUCGGCCGUGCGAACUGGCGUGCUGGAGCACUGUAGAGGCAGGCGGAAUUCCGGGUGUAGCGGUGGAAUGCGUAGAGAUCCGGAAGAACACCGGUGGCGAAGGCGGCCUGCUGGGCAGUUGCUGACACUGAGGCGCGACAGCGUGGGGAGCAAACAG